rnacentral:rRNA from 1 species
CCUACGGGUGGCAGCAGUGGGGAAUAUUGCACAAUGGGGGAAACCCUGAUGCAGCGACGCCGCGUGAGUGAAGAAGUAUUUCGGUACGUAAAGCUCUAUCAGCAGGGAAGAAAAUGACGGUACCUGACUAAGAAGCCCCGGCUAACUACGUGCCAGCAGCCGCGGUAAUACGUAGGGGGCAAGCGUUAUCCGGAUUUACUGGGUGUAAAGGGAGCGUAGACGGCAGCGCAAGUCUGGAGUGAAAUCCCAUGGCUUAACCAUGGAACUGCUUUGGAGACUGUGCAGCUAGAGUGCAGGAGAGGUAAGCGGAAUUCCUAGGGUAGCGGUGAAAUGCGUAGAUAUUAGGAGGAACACCAGUGGCGAAGGCGGCUUACUGGACUGUAACUGACGUUGAGGCUCGAAAGCGUGGGGAGCAAACAGGAUUAGAUACCCGGGUAGUC